CACGUAGGGCGCAAGCGUUGUCCGGAAUUAUUGGGCGUAAAGAGCUCGUAGGCGGUCUGUUACGUCCGCUGUGAAAACCCAGGGCUUAACCCUGGGCUUGCAGUGGAUACGGGUAGACUAGAGGCAGGUAGGGGAGAAUGGAAUUCCCGGUGUAGCGGUGAAAUGCGCAGAUAUCGGGAGGAACACCGGUGGCGAAGGCGGUUCUCUGGGCCUGCACUGACGCUCAUGCACGAAAGCGUGGGGAGCAAACAGG
rnacentral:rRNA from 1 species